rnacentral:rRNA from 1 species
CAAUAGCGUAUAUUAAAGUUGUUGCAGUUAAAAAGCUCGUAGUUAGAUUUCGGGGUGGCCUGCCUGGUCCACCGCAAGGUGAGUACUGGUCAGCCGCCCUUCCUCUCGAAAGCCCCGACUGCUCUUCAUUGCAGUGGUCGGGUAGUUCGGGACGUUUACUUUGAAAAAAUUAGAGUGUUCAAGGCAGGCUCUCGCCUGAAUACAUUAGCAUGGAAUAAUGGAAGAGGACCUCGGUCCUAUUUUGUUGGUUUCUAGGGCCGAAGUAAUGAUUAAGAGGGACAGUUGGGGGCAUUCGUAUUUAAUUGUCAGAGGUGAAAUUCUUGGAUUUAUGAAAGACGAACUAGUGCGAAAGCAUUUGCCAAGGAUGUUUUCAUUAA